rnacentral:rRNA from 1 species
GACGAACGCUGGCGGCGUGCUUAACACAUGCAAGUCGAACGGAAAGGCCCUGCUUUUGUGGGGUGCUCGAGUGGCGAACGGGUGAGUAACACGUGAGUAACCUGCCCUUGACUUUGGGAUAACUUCAGGAAACUGGGGCUAAUACCGGAUAGGAGCUCCUGCUGCAUGGGGGGGGUUGGAAAGUUUCGGCGGUUGGGGAUGGACUCGCGGCUUAUCAGCUUGUUGGUGGGGUAGUGGCUGACCAAGGCUUUGACGGGUAGCCGGCCUGAGAGGGUGACCGGCCACAUUGGGACUGCGAUACGGCCCAGACUCCUACGGGAGGCAGCAGUGGGGAAUAUUGCACAAUGGGCGGAAGCCUGAUGCAGCAACGCCGCGUGCGGGAUGACGGCCUUCGGGUUGUAAACCGCUUUCGCCUGUGACGAAGCGUGAGUGACGGUAAUGGGUAAAGAAGCACCGGCUAACUACGUG